AAGAACAAGAAAAAACUGCUGAAUAGAAACUGUAAAAGAAAAAUUCUGAUUAAGAGAUUUUUUUUUUUGUAAGAAACUUUAUAAGGUCAAAAUACUUUAAUUGCAUGCAACAGGCAGCAUGCCAGAUCAUACCAUCUCAGUAGUCCCCAUUCAUUAUUUCUGUUCUAUACACAAAAUAGUUUUAGGCGUUGUGAGAACCAAAGACAAUUAGGGUGAACUUGUUAGUCUUUUAGGCUGACUGGCUGAUGUCUGUGCAGGUCCUCAAAGAUUUAAAACCCAGGAUGUUUAUUGAAAGAAAUAUGAUGUGGGCCUGCUGUAUAAAUUAAACAAAAAUAAAAUCAAGAAAAAGUUAUUAAAGCUAUGCUACUGUUAAGUCUCAGCUAAAUUGAAAAUAAUGAAACAGCUUUCAAAUCAAAAUCAAAUCCACCAGUUAGCUUCCAUAUUGGGUUGGAAUUAAAUGUUCUAAUUAAUGAAAUAAUCAGAUUAAUAUAAUCAGUAGUCAGUCUGAGAAGGGAUCUGAAGAGGUAGCAGUUUGAAGCCAAUAAUUUUAUCCAAGUGAAUCAAAUAUGUAACUUAUAGCUGGAUAAAUAAUCAAUACUGAAACCAAAUUAUUUUUAAAAAUUUUAAACAGUGACCUCCAAGUCAAAACUUCCUCCCUAUGUUUAGUAUUUUUCAUGACCAACAUAUUCCUGCUCCUUUGCUCCCACAAACAGAGAAGUUUCAAAAGAAGCUUUGAAAGAACACUGUGAUAAUGGAAGUUGACAACUUAUUAAGCAAUCACUAGAUGACUCUCAAAUGCUGAGCACAGCAUGCAUUGAAUGAAUGUGGACUUCUAGUAGUGUGGAAUAACAGAUGUAAUGGCUAGUGGUGAAAUGCUAAUGCAACUG